CCGACCGGAUGGCCGAGUUGUCGCAGCCGUUGCUGGCCGCGGCGGGUGCCCGCCGGCAUCCGGUGCUCGGGUUCCGGAUCGCGCCGGGUCGGG
rnacentral:tRNA from 1 species